rnacentral:rRNA from 1 species
UUCGCAAUGCCCGAAAGGGUGACGAGGCGACGCCGCGUGCGGGAAGAAGGCCUUCGGGUUGUAAACCGCUGUCGGGAGUUAAGAAAUGCAAGGAUAUUAAUAGUGUCUUUGCUUGACUAAGGCUCCGGAGGAAGCCACGGCUAACUCUGUGCCAGCAGCCGCGGUAAUACAGAGGCGGCAAGCGUUGUUCGGAAUUAUUGGGCGUAAAGAGCACGUAGGCGGCUAUGUAAGUCGGUUGUGAAAGCCUUCCGCUCAACGGGAGAACAGCAUCCGAUACUGCAUGGCUUGAGUGCGGGAGGGGAGAGUGGAACUUCUGGUGGAGCGGUGAAAUGCGUAGAUAUCAGAAGGAACGCCGGCGGCGAAAGCGGCUCUCUGGCCCGUAACUGACGCUGAGUGUGCGAAAGCUAGGGGAGCAAACGGGAUUAGGUACCCCGGUAGUCCUAGCCGUAAAC